GAUGAACGCUGGCGGCGUGCCUAACACAUGCAAGUCGAGCGAUUUACUUCGGUAAAGAGCGGCGGACGGGUGAGUAACGCGUGGGUAACCUGCCCUGUACACACGGAUAACAUACCGAAAGGUAUGCUAAUACGAGAUAAUAUGCUUUUAUCGCAUGGUAGAAGUAUCAAAGCUUUUGCGGUACAGGAUGGACCCGCGUCUGAUUAGCUAGUUGGUGAGGUAACGGCUCACCAAGGCGACGAUCAGUAGCCGACCUGAGAGGGUGAUCGGCCACAUUGGAACUGAGACACGGUCCAAACUCCUACGGGAGGCAGCAGUGGGGAAUAUUGCACAAUGGGCGAAAGCCUGAUGCAGCAACGCCGCGUGAGCGAUGAAGGCCUUCGGGUCGUAAAGCUCUGUCCUCAAGGAAGAUAAUGACGGUACUUGAGGAGGAAGCCCCGGCUAACUAC
rnacentral:rRNA from 1 species